rnacentral:lncRNA from 1 species
ACUGGUGGCUCAGCAACAGAAGGGCACAGACAGAACACUGCUAGAAAACCCUCUCAGGAUGACGGUUUGAAGGAGGACAAGGAAGAGAAUGUGGCGAGCUGGGGUUACAGACGCCUGCUGCCAUGUGUGGCCUUUGACGUGGGUCCUGAGUGUCAAUCUGCUCAGCAAGAGCGUUCACCUGCGCAAUCAUCUUGCCAGGCCAAUACUUCUCUAAGGUGGUUGGAGGACCAUAUAAACACUACCGGAGUUAGUCACCUGACAUUCUAUGCCAGACUUGGUGACAAGACCAUGAGGACACGAACCUUCAGCACGUGAAGAAGAGGUAGAGGGACCAUAUGGCUACAGCCAGGAAGCCAGAGCCUGACAGAGCAAGGCAGGCACAGAGAGCCAGUCUCGGGCUCUCCUGGACACCUUCCUACUAGCACAGGGACCCCUUCACACUGGACCUGUCAAUCACAGUGCUCUCUCUUAGCUCAGAGACACACAAGGUCUGGCUACGUGCAGUGUGGGGUUUUCAUUAUGCAGUCAGGCUAGAACUAACAAUCCUCCUGCCUCACAUGGGAUUGUAAAUAUGUGCCAGCUGGAGCCUCUUCACAUUGGAUUCCUACAUAAGCCUCUGUGCACGUGACAAUAGGGACUGCAUGGCCAUGGGGAGGCUUUUGUGACCCUCUAAGCACGGCAACUGAGGAACCCACAGGGAAACAAGAUUCUUUGGCUCCUUUAAGAUUCUGCUUGCCUGAGCUGCAGGAAAAGGCUGGACCAUGGGGAAGCCCCAGCUACUCUCAAAGGUCACUCAACAAUGACAAGAGCCCAGCAGGGUCAGGACAGAAGAGUGAGGAGAGACCAGGGUCCCAGAGGGCUUUUGGCCCCGUCCAUCAUUAGUAUCCUCUGCAUGGAUGCUGGUACGAACCUCAGAUGCCAGCGUCAUGCAUGGGCACUGGACCUGAGACAUGUUUAGAGAGGAUCUUAAAAUAAUCCAAUCAAACCACCAAAUUAUCUGCUUGUGGCAGAAGUGCGCCCGAGUGGCUGUUCUUGUGAAGAAACAGCUCUUUGAUCAUCUCAAGAGGCUUCCUCAGCUGCCCAGACAGUUCUGGGUAGAGCAAAGAGGCUGCCUGUCUCUUUUUAGCAAGACAUGGCCAUCAGUGGUCCACCUGGGAAAACACAGGCAGACGGCGGACAAGAAAGGGACAGCAAGUUCAACAUGGUACUGGGGCUUCUUACCUACAUAUUCCGAGAGGAAGACGACAAAGAACGGAGUGACCAGGUCAUUAAUUCCCUGGACAUACCCACUGGCGGGGUGUCGGAUGGCCCAGAUAAACAGAAUUCGUUCAAAGAUCUAAGAAGACGAG